rnacentral:lncRNA from 1 species
UGUCUAUUUAAUCUUUCUCUCUUUUUCCCCCUUUAAUUUGGAUUAGCUCUUUUAAAAGACAAUUUUUUGGAUUUAUUUAUCCUUUUUAGUUUUUUUUUUUUUUUCUUUUUGAGACAGGGUGUGGCUCUGUUGCCCUGGCUGGAGUGCAGUGGUGCAAUCUCAGCUCACUGCAACCUCCACCUCCUGGGCUCAAUCUAACCUCCCAUCUCAGCCUCCCAAGUAGCUGGGACUACAGGCGUACACCACCAUGCCUGGCUAAUUUUUGUACUUUUUUUUUUUUUUCUUCAGAGAUGGGGUUUCACCAUGUUGCCCAGGCUGGUUUCGAACUCCUAAGCUCAAGUGAUUCUCCCGCCUUGGCUUCCCAAAGCGCUGGGAUUACAGGCAUGAGCCACUGUGCCUGGGCCUUCUUAGUAUUUUUGUUUUUUGUUUUUUUUUUUUCAUUUCAUUAGUGUUAGCUUUAGUUAUUAUUUUCUGAUUUGAUUUCUUUUCUUAUUCUUUUCAUAAUUUCUUGAAAUAAGUGCUCCCUUUAUUUUUCCUGUGCGUGUGUUGUUUAAAGCUUGCUAUCUUUUUGACAGUAUAAUAUAUGAUACAGGGUAAUUGAGAGAGUUUCUCAUGUUACGCUGUUUUCUCAUUUCACAUUUUUAUUUUGUGAACAUAGUAUUUUCAUUCUUUUUUUAAA